rnacentral:rRNA from 1 species
AUAAAAUUUAUUUAUUAAUUUAAUUUAGUAUUUAUUUAUUUUUAAUAAAAAUAAUUUUAAAAUUUUAUGUUUUGUAUUGUAUAAAGAAAUAAUAAUUUUAAUAAUAGUAUAUUUGUAUUGUGAAAGAAAAUUGAAAUAAUAUGAAAAAUUUUUAUAAUAAAAGAAAAUUUGAUUUAUUGUACCUUGUGUAUCAGGGUUUAUUAAUUAAAAAAUAAUAAUAUUUAUUUUUCUCGAAUUUAUAAGAUCUAAUUAAUUAUUUUAGUUAAUGUGGCAUAAUUAUUCAUAAUAAUUAAUUAGAAAUGAAACGUUAUUCGUUUAUAAAUAUAUCUAGUUAUUUAAGAAAUAAAUUUAAUUUAUAUAUUAUUGUAGUAAUUAGUUAAUUUAUUAAUUAAUUAUUUUUUAAUAUAAAUAUUUUAAGGGAUGAGCUUUAAAAUAAAAUUUUAUAAAUGUAUCUUUGUUAUAAUAAAUGUAAGCUUAGAAAUAGUUAUCAUUAAUAAAUUUGUUAUAAUAUAUUUUAUAAUAAUUAUUAUUUAUUUUUUUUUUAAAUUUUUAUUAAAUUAUUAAUUUUAACUUAAAAAAUUAAGAAAUAAUGAUAAAAUUAGUAUAUUUAUAUUUAUAAAUAAUAAUCUUUGAAAGGUUUUAUUAAGGAAUUCGGCAAAUUUAGUUCUCACCUGUUUAUCAAAAACAUGUCUUUUUGAAUCUAUUUAAAGUCUAACCUGCCCACUGAAUUAUUUAAAGGGCCGCGGUAUUUUGACCGUGCAAAGGUAGCAUAAUCAUUAGUUUUUUAAUUGAAAGCUUGUAUGAAUGGUUGGAUGAGGAAUUAGCUGUCUCAAAAAAAUUUAUAAUUGAAUUUAUCUUUUUUGUUAAAAGACAAAAAUAUAAUUAAAGGACGAGAAGACCCUAUAGAGCUUUAUAAAUUUAUAAUAUAAAAUGUAAAGAAUUUUUUGUAUUAUAUUAAAAAAUUUAUUUUGUUGGGGUGACAAUAAAAUUUAAAAAACUUUUAUUAAUUAAUAAACAUUAAUUUAUGAAUAAAUGAUCCAUUAUUAGUGAUUAAAAAUUUAAGUUACCUUAGGGAUAACAGCGUAAUUUUUUUUGAGAGUUCAUAUCGACAAAAAAGAUUGCGACCUCGAUGUUGGAUUAAGAAUUAUUUUUAGGUGUAGAAGUUUAAAGUUUAGGUCUGUUCGACCUUUGAAUUCUUACAUGAUCUGAGUUCAAACCGGUGUAAGCCAGGUUGGUUUCUAUCCUUAAUUUUUAAAAAUAUUUUAGUACGAAAGGACCAAAUAUUUAAAAUAUUAAUUUUUUAUUUAUGAAUUUAAUUAAUAA